rnacentral:tRNA from 1 species
UACGGGGWGGUGUAGUUAGCACAGGGGUUUUUGGAGCCCAAGGGGGGAGUAAAAGCGUCCUCCUCGUAU